GCGGGUUUAGCUCAGUUGGGAGAGCGUCAGACUGAAGUCAAAACUUCACCAAGUUAACACACCAGUUACAUCUGAAGGUCGUGUGUUCGAUCCACACAAACCGCA
rnacentral:tRNA from 1 species